GAUGAACGCUAGCGACAGGCUUAACACAUGCAAGUCGAGGGGCAGCAUAAAAGUAGCAAUACUUUGGUGGCGACCGGCGCACGGGUGAGUAACGCGUAUGCAACCUACCUAUCAGAGGGGAAUAACCCGGCGAAAGUCGGACUAAUACCGCAUAAAACAGGGGCACCGCAUGGUGAUAUUUGUUAAAGAAAUUCGCUGAUAGAUGGGCAUGCGUUCCAUUAGGUAGUUGGUGAGGUAACGGCUCACCAAGCCGACGAUGGAUAGGGGAACUGAGAGGUUGGUCCCCCACACUGGUACGGAGACACGGACCAGACUCCUACGGGAGGCAGCAGUGAGGAAUAUUGGUCAAUGGGCGGGAGCCUGAACCAGCCAAGUCGCGUGAAGGAAGAAGGAUCUAUGGUUCGUAAACUUCUUUUGCAGGGGAAUAAAGUGCAGGACGUGUCCUGUUUUGUAUGUACCCUGAGAAUAAGGAUCGGCUAACUCCGUGCCAGCAGCCGCAGUAAAAC
rnacentral:rRNA from 1 species